AUUUAUAUAGUUUAAAGAAAAACAUUAUAUUUUCAUUAUAAAAAUAGAAAAAUCUUAUAAAUU
rnacentral:tRNA from 1 species